UUCUUUUAAGGCAGAGACGCAAAUCGGUUCCUCUUCGUCUUCUUUUAAGGCGGAGACGCAAAUCGGUUCCUCUUCGUCUUCUUUUAAGGUGGAGAGCCAUCGUCCUAUCCUCGAAUACCCAACACAUCUGCUCCUCCGUUUGGGUCCUCUUUGCACAUCUCAUCUCCCCCAACCGAAAUCUUGAAGGCUCUAUCGCAGCAGCAACGAGCUUUCGUUGCCGCACUCGAUGGCAGACACCCAGCUCCAACAAAUCUGGCAGCCUUGGCGGCCUCUGGCUUCUCUGGCGUCUGGGCUCUUGGAUGUGGAAGCGGCCAGGACUGGGCAGUUGGGUGCCACCACGUCCAGUUCAUACGAAUCGUGAAGGCCGCUCGGUGCCACCACACGACUUGUUCUAGCGACCGAUCGGGCAUCCUACGGCAGAGAACGGAUACCAUGUAUGCCGCGGUACUACAUCUCCUUCUCACAACAUUUUUUUUAGAUCUCCUUCUCAAAACUUCACCUUUCUGGCCUCCAGCAGGGGCAUCGACAACACCCCUUGAUCCUGAUAAAUAGUCUAUUGUGCCAGCGAAUGUGAUCGAUAGCGUCUUGGGCGUCCUCCUCAUUAGCACCACCAUCGAUCAUGUGACCGUGAACUCAUCAAGGUUCAUCACAAGGGAGUAGGGGUUCGAGACAGUCAAUCGACAUUCACUACUGCAGCUUCAAACGCGGUUCGUGGGGGCAGCUCCAGCACUGGCAAAAGGUGAGCUUGGAGAAAUAACUUCAUCUGAUUUGCACGAUCCAAUCUUUAGUCCAGAAUAAUUUCACAAUCAAGGGCUUUUGGAUGGUAAAAUAGUGAGGAUCUGUGAACAAACUAAAGCGUCAAAACUCAGGGUGGACUGGAUAGGGUACACUCACAUUAUUUAACUUUAUUCUAACAUAUUGUAUAUCCACUGUCAACACCAAUCAGGGGCCUUUUUACUUUAUGUUUAUUUGUGCUAUAAAAGCAGUACUCUCUAAUCUUCAGAUUUCUAACUCGGUAAGAAAUUUGAUUAACAUAUCUUAUAUAUACCGUCAACACAAAUCAGGGGCUUUUUACUGUUUACGUAUUUAUUUGUGCUAUAAAAAGAAGUACACUAAUCUUCAGAUUUCUAUCUCUGUAGGGGAUUCGAAAGCAUCUGGUCUGUACCAAUUGACACACAAAAAGAACCUUGGCAAACGAAAAAUACUAAACGAUGGAAAGACUAUUCUGACAAGAAAUAUUCUUUAGGUUACUGUAGUAUUUAUUGUAAUUAAUUGACCCCAUUGUUUUGUUAAAAUUAGAUGGAUGGCAGUUUGCUCACCUUUUCCCUACAGGGUUGAGCACUAUAGCAACUGUAUUAGCCUAAAGUAGCCAUUCAACAACUAUUUGUGUGUUCUAUUAACCAUUAUAUUCAUGUCCACCAAUAAGGAAAUUAAAUUUAUCAGCACUAACACAUAUUUAUUUCUUCAUUUUCUGAUUGCAGGAUCUCGCUAUCAGGGCCAGACAAAGCAACUAGGUAGGCUAAGAUAUUUCUCCAAAUAAGCUAAUUAUGUGUCCCAAUUUUCUUAUUUCUAAAUAUAUUUUAAAUUUACUUGAGGCUCAUAAUUAUGUUAUUUCCUGUAACAUCUUGCCUAACACACUUCAUGCAUAUAUGGUAUUAGGACAGAAGGUUGUCAAACUCUACAUGUUUUCUCCUCAUGGAUAUAAUCAUUUGCCGAUCUUAGCUUAUCAUCCAAACUACUUUCUGUAUGCCUUAAUUUUCUGAGAACUUGCAAUCAUUCUGUUUUGAGUGAUUUAGAUUAUACUUUAUUUAUCAAUUAAUUGUUCUUUUAAUCUAAAUCUUAUAAGAUGCAUUUUGGAUUUGUAGGUCAUUGGUUGUGUCAGAGAGUUCGGCUCGGAUAACUAUGAGCAACCUUUCCUUUGCCUUACUUGGUUAAAUACCAUGUUAUCUUUCUUAUUGUAAGUCAAAUUGUAGCCUACUUGAAAACAACCGCCACCCUCACUGUAAUUCACAAUGUCAUCUUCACACACCCAAAUAAGCUAAAUUUUAGCAGUAUAAUAGGAUUGGAGUUGAGGAAAAGCAUCAAUGUUACUUUUUUGAGCUGAAAUGUGUUACUUUCAUAAUAUCACACUGCAUUUUUCUCCAAA
rnacentral:lncRNA from 1 species